AUGCUUGAUCUCAAUGAGUUUCCUCCAGAUCUCAAUGAGCUUCCUCAUGAUAUGGAUCAGCAGCAACCCAGCAUACAACAAGGAAACUGCACAGAAAAUGGUCGAUCUGUUUACUACACGCAGGCAAGUUGUGAUGGUAACCCUACGGGCCAUGACAAUGUGGCAGGCCAGUCAUCAGCCCGUGGUGCCCCUGUAGUGGUGUCUUUGCAGUCAGAGAGCCAUACUCUUGAUGACAUAGGAACCGAGGCAAAUGUUCCUGGUCCAACCAGGACUGAGCUAGAAGCUGGGGCUUUUGACAGAGUUGUGCAAGUAGAAGAAGGAGAGGAUGAGGCUGGUUCUCAACCUAUGGAACCCUAUGUUGGCAUGAGGUUUGACAGCCUUCAAAUUGCUAAGGAUCACUACAAUAGUUACGCACUACGGAUGGGUUUCUCUAUCAAGAUGAACACCUCUAGACGGACACCCCGCACCAAUGAAUUGAUAAAACAACAGUUUUGCUGCAACAAGUUCAAGAAGCCCAAAGCUGAUGAUGGAGGAGCUGAGGCUCCUCCUUACCUGGACCCUAUUCCAGAUCCAACAUCUGUUAACAGUGAUGAGGAGAUGGAAGAAGAACCUCCAAUAUUUGCUGAAGAGGAUGCUGGUACUAGUAAGAAGAAGAAGAAGCGCAAACAUGAGACAAUAAAGCAGACUGAAUGCAAGGCGAAAAUGUUGGUGAAGCUGAUAGAUGGGCGAUGGGAGGUGACGCACUUUGUUCGUGACCACAAUCAUCCGCUCGUGAACAAACCUUCAUUGUCCAAAUACUUGAGAUCCCACCAAGGCAUCUCACCUGAUGAAAAGGAGUUUCUGCGCAUCUUGUAUAACUGCAACUUGACUACAUGA
rnacentral:rRNA from 1 species